AGAGUUUGAUCCUGGCUCAGAACGAACGCUGGCGGCAUGCCUUAUACAUGCAAGUCGAACGAGAAAGUCACUUCGGUGGCGAGUACAGUGGCGCACGGGUGAGUAACGCGUAGAUGAUCUACCCUUCAGUCUGGGACAACUCUUGGAAACGGGAGCUAAUACCGGAUAAAACCUUCGGGUUGAAAGAUUUAUCGCUGGGGGAUGAGUCUGCGUACCAUUAGCUUGUUGGUGGGGUAACGGCCUACCAAGGCGACGAUGGUUAGCGGGUCUGAGAGGACGAUCCGCCACACUGGAACUGAGACACGGUCCAGACUCCUACGGGAGGCAGCAGUAGGGAAUAUUGCGCAAUGGGGGCAACCCUGACGCAGCAAUGCCGCGUGAGUGAAGAAGGCCUUCGGGUCGUAAAGCUCUUUUAUGGGGGAAGAUGAUGACGGUACCCCAUGAAUAAGCACCGGCUAACUACGUGCCAGCAGCCGCGGUAAUACGUAGGGUGCGAGCGUUGUUCGGAAUUACUGGGCGUAAAGGGCGUGCAGGCGGAUUGGCAAGCCGGAGGUGAAAGCCCGGGGCUCAACCCCGGAGGGUCUUUCGGAACUGCCAGUCUUGAGAGGGUCAGGGGCCAGCGGAAUUCCUGGUGUAGAGGUGAAAUUCGUAGAGAUCAGGAGGAACACCGGCGGCGAAAGCGGCUGGCUGGGGCCACUCUGACGCUGAGGCGCGAAAGCGUGGGGAGCAAACAGGAUUAGAUACCCUGGGGAGUCCACGCCGUAAACGAUGGGCACUAAGCGUCCGACGGGGUUCGACCCUGUUGGGGUGCUGCAGUUAACGCGUUAAGUGCCCCGCCUGGGGAGUACGGUCG
rnacentral:rRNA from 1 species